rnacentral:rRNA from 1 species
AGUUUGAUCCUGGCUCAGGAUGAACGCUAGCGGCGUGCUUAACACAUGCAAGUCGAACGGUGAAGCCCAGCUUGCUGGGUGGAUCAGUGGCGAACGGGUGAGUAACACGUGAGCAACCUGCCCCUGACUCUGGGAUAAGCGCUGGAAACGGCGUCUAAUACUGGAUACGAGUAGCGACCGCAUGGUCAGUUACUGGAAAGAUUUAUUGGUUGGGGAUGGGCUCGCGGCCUAUCAGCUUGUUGGUGAGGUAAUGGCUCACCAAGGCGUCGACGGGUAGCCGGCCUGAGAGGGUGACCGGCCACACUGGGACUGAGACACGGCCCAGACUCCUACGGGAGGCAGCAGUGGGGAAUAUUGCACAAUGGGCGCAAGCCUGAUGCAGCAACGCCGCGUGAGGGAUGACGGCUUCGGGUUGUAAACCUCUUUUAGCAGGGAAGAAGCGAAAGUGACGGUACCUGCAGAAAAAGCGCCGGCUAACUACGUGCCAGCAGCCGCGGUAAUACGUAGGGCGCAAGCGUUAUCCGGAAUUAUUGGGCGUAAAGAGCUCGUAGGCGGUUUGUCGCGUCUGCUGUGAAAUCCGGAGGCUCAACCUCCGGCCUGCAGUGGGUACGGGCAGACUAGAGUGCGGUAGGGGAGAUUGGAAUUCCUGGUGUAGCGGUGGAAUGCGCAGAUAUCAGGAGGAACACCGAUGGCGAAGGCAGAUCUCUGGGCCGUAACUGACGCUGAGGAGCGAAAGGGUGGGGAGCAAACAGGCUUAGAUACCCUGGUAGUCCACCCCGUAAACGUURRGAACUAGUUGUGGGU